CAAACUUCGAAAUCUUUUAUGAAAUCCUGGGGGGUUAAUCUAUCUACUGAGGAGGGCGCUCCCGAUCUUCCUAUAGAACAAAAUAGUUAUGAUAGCUGCAUUAUUUUAGCAUUCAUCACCCAGUGAUUAUCAUAGUCAUGUGUUAUCUUCCUGUCAAACUUCUAACGAAGUGAUUUGCAUUUCCUAUCUUUUAUUUAGUUAGACAAAAGAUGUAACGGGUGGACCAAUUCAACUUAGAGAUAUAAAUCCUUUCUUUCCUUUUCUUUCAACGAAAUUGUGAAACGAGACGUGGCAAGUAGGAAGUGGCUACCAAAAAAAAAUGUAAUGUUUCUAAAGACUUUUUGCCAAAGUAUUUGGAUUCACACGCUAUUUUGACUACGGUUGGUUUGACACUUGACACUGACAGUGUUAACUUGGAGUCAACUCUUAUAAUCGAUCUUGAGCAAGAUUUAACCAAGACAACUAAACACCACUUUUUCGACAGAUCAGUUGGAAGAAAAGCGAUUCCCAAGAGGUGACUAUUAUUUUUAUUUCUUUAGUUUUCUCAUUUCUUGUCAAAGAAAGGGCUUUGAUAUUGCAUUUUGCAAAUUUUCUUUUAUCUCAAUUAGUUCAUGUCUCUUUAGAAAGUUAUGAGUACACUAAUUCUGUAAAUUUUGCCAAAAAAAAAUAUGAUCUUUAAACUCCCCGUCCUGGAUUUCCUCUAGUUUGAUAUAAAUAUACUAUUUCUACUUCCAUGAUUUAGCAGGAGACAUAUGGCUGAGACACUUUUGUCGUUUGGAGUUCAGAAGCUUUGGGAGCUUCUUGUCCGAGAAUCUGAUCGAUUUAAGGAAGUUAACGAGCAACUUACUGUACUGAAAAGUGAUGUCAACUUGCUUAGGUCCUUUUUGAAAGAUGUAGAUGCCAAGAAACAUGCAAGUUCAGUGGUUAGAAACUGUGUGGAAGAGAUCAAGGAAAUCGUUUUCGACGCUGAGGAUGUAAUCGAAACGUUUCUUCUAAAGAAAGAACUUGGACGAACAAGUGGCAUCAGGAAGCGCAUGAGAAGACUUGCUUUCACCAUAGCGGAUCGCAGGGAACUUGUGUCUCAGAUGGAAGGCAUAAGUAAGAGAAUCUCCAAGGUGAUCCGAAACAUGCAAAGUUUUGGGGUGCAACAGAGGAUUGUUGAUGGCAGCGGGUAUUCAGACACUAUCCAAGAAAAACAAAGGGAGAUGAGACAUACUUUUCCUAGCGACAACGAAAGCCAUCUUGUGGGUUUGGAGGAAAAGGUGAAGGAAUUGGUUGGCUAUUUGGUAGAAGAAGAGAGCAUUCAAGUGGUUUCUAUAUGUGGGAUGGGCGGUAUUGGCAAAACUACCCUGGCUCGCCAAGUUUUUAGUCAUGAGAUGGUUAAGAAACAUUUUGAUGGAGUUGUGUGGGUUUGUGUGUCACAACAGUUUACACGAAAAUAUGUGUGGCAGACUAUCUUUCAGAGGUUUAGUUCCAAUCACGAUGAACACAGAGGGUCAGAUAUGACUGAAGAUGAGCUUCAAGACAAACUUUUUCGACUACUCGAAACUAGCAAAUCUUUGAUUGUCCUGGAUGAUAUGUGGAGAGAAGAUGAUUGGGACAAUAUAAAGCAUGUGUUUCCACCAACUAAAGGAUGGAAGGUUUUAUUUACUUCUCGCAACGAGAAUGUUGCACUACGCGCAGAUACAGAAUGCGUAACUUUCAAACUAAAGUGCUUAACCCCCAAAAAAAGUUGGACACUUUUUCGGAGGAUAGCUUUUCCUAGGAAAGACACAUCAGAGUUUAAGGUUGAUGUAGACAUGUUAGAGAUGGGCAAGAAAAUGAUAAAACAUUGUGGAGGACUACCAUUGGCUGUCAAAGUGUUAGGAGGCUUGUUAGCUGCCCAACCCACUUUAAGUGAAUGGAAAAGGGUUUAUGAGAAUAUUGGAUCCGACUUGGCAGGAAGAACUAGUUUUAAUGAUGGAUAUUGCAAUUCAGUUCAUAGUGUACUGUCUCUAAGCUUCGAAGAGUUGCCUACUUUUUUGAAACAUUACUUUCUCUACCUCGUCCAUUUUCCCAGAGAUUAUCAAAUCAGUGUGGAGAAUUUAUCCUAUUAUUGGGCUGCAGAAGGAAUACCAAGGCCGAGUUAUUCCGAGGGAGCGACAAUUGAAGAAGUCGCAGAGGGGUACAUAGCAGACUUGGUGAAGAGAAACAUGGUUAUUUCUGAAAAAAAUGCUUCUACUUCAAAAUUUGAAACAUGUCACUUGCAUGACAUGAUGAGAGAAGUUUGUCUGCUUAAAACUGAAGAAGAGAACUUCCUACAAAUUGUUCACGGUUCAUCGUCAACUGCAUACUCUAAAUCUUAUCGUAAAUCUCGCAGACUCGCUGUACAUCGUCCUGAUGAAACAUUUAGUAUGGAGAAGGAAGUGAAUAGUCCAAGCCUUAGGUCUCUCUUGUUUAUUUGGGGUUCAAACUGGAAGGCAUCAGGUUUAUUCUUUGAAAGGCUACAAUUGAUGAGGGUUUUGGAUCUCUCUAGAGCGCAUUUUGAAGGAGGGAAGAUACCAUCUAGCAUUGGAAAGCUCAUCCAUUUAAGAUAUCUAAGUUUAUAUAAAGCGCAUGUAUCUCGUCUACCUUCUUCAAUGCGGAAUCUGAAGCAGCUGGUCUAUUUAAACUUAUGCUUAUAUGCGAGAUAUCCACUUUAUGUGCCAAACAUUUUUAAAGGGAUGCAAGAAUUGAGAUACCUUUCAUUACCUUCAGGGAGAAUGCAUGAUAAGACAAAGUUGGAAUUAGGUAACCUAAUCAACUUGGAGACGUUGAAGUUCUUCUCAACAAAGCAUAGCAGUGUGACGGAUCUUCACUGUAUGACAAGGCUAAGGAAUCUCUUAAUCAUAUUCAACGAAGAGGGGUGUACUAUGGAAACGCUAUCUUCGUCUCUAAGUAAACUGAGACAUCUGGAAAGUCUUAGCAUAGAUUACAAUCAUUUCAAGGUUUUUGCUCCCACAGAUGAUGAAAAAGGAUUUGUUUUGGGUUGUAUCCAUCUAAAAAAGCUGGAGUUGUGUGUAUACAUGCCAGGGUUACCUGAUGAGAAGCACCUUCCUUCUCACCUUACAACCAUAUCUCUAACUGGUUGUCGUUUGAAAGAGGAUCCAAUGCUGAUUCUAGAGAAGUUGUCACACUUGAAAGAGGUUGAUUUAGGGAAAAGAUCAUUCUGUGGGAAGAGAAUGGUUUGCUCGAGGGGUGGGUUUCCUCAGUUGCAGAUGCUAUUAUUUCUUGGAUUACAUGAGUGGGAAGAGUGGAUAGUAGAAGAAGGUUCAAUGCCCCUUCUUCAUACUCUCGAUGUUAGUUAUUCUGCAAAAUUAAAAGAGGUUCCUAAUGGGAUACAAUUUCUCACUUCUUUAAAAGAUCUGUGUAUGGGAGAGGAAUGGAAGAAGAGACUAUCAGAAGGAGGAGAAGAUUAUUACAAAGUCCAACACGUCAUUUCUGUUCGGUUUGGAGGGAAAGGUUGAUUUUAUACUAGGGAGACUAUCCUGCGUCGAUUAGGAACCUUAGCCUCACCGACUGGAUAUUGUCUCCAUCCACUAAUCAAUGCUCAUUGUCCACUAAUCAUUGCUUUUCCAUCGUCCAUCGUCCAUCGUCCACGUCAUUGAUCUGACCAUCGAUCUAUCACCAUACAACUCCAACCAAUAGCAAUGGCAGUGGCAGGUAGCAGUAUCCAGGGGGCCGACCCUGGGCUAAAUCUGGUAAAACCCAUGUUUUAGGCACCAAAUUAUGUUAUAGUUUUAAGGGGUAGCAAAAUUGUUAAACUUCAUUGUGGUAUAGUGGUUCGGACUAUUACUUUAGAGUAAACAUGGAGUGUUCGAAGUCUUAAAUGCACACAUCACAUACUAAACAGGUGAACAUAUUCUAUGUGUUUCUUAUGGAUCAAACUUUCUCUGCAGUCCUUUGUUUUUUUUGUCACAAUUUUCCCGGGUUGUCGAUUUCUUAGGUUUUGGAUUAAAGAGGCUACGAUCCACGGAAAGAUCAUGAGUCUCGUGUGUGAAUUGUGCCUCUCUCUAUAAACAUUCAUUUAAAAAUGAAUGGUAUGUGAUAUGGUAAAGUAGAAUUCUCAUUUUAUGUACCUUUAAAAUCAGACUGAACAGAAAAGUUUGUCUAUUCUCUUCCUUUUUUGCAUCCAGUCUGCAGAUGUAUGUUAAAGCUUUUUACCUCAAAUUCCUUUGUGUAUUUUUAUCCGAUUCCAAAGAAUGGAGUCAGGGUUCCACCUGAA